GCGGAACCACCCAGCCUUUGGUGUCACCCACUUGAAACUCAAAAGAAGCGACAUAGGAGAGGCAGGUGGUGAGAAGGAGCAGAGUUGUGAAGAAAUUCAUCGAGUUGGAAGCCAUUGAUGGUAGCUUUAAGGAGUUGAAACUUGGAGCGAAUAGAACAGUGGAUGACGAUGGAAGCUUAGGGGAGGAGGGAAUUUAUAGUGAAGAAAAUGGCAGUUGAGGGGAGUUUGAAUAUUGCUAGUGAUGGAGAAACAGGGCGGUUGGCGGUUUUGGAAGUGUGCUUGAGUUUGUUCAUCCAUGGCUGAUGGCACGUUCUGGCUACGAUUUCGGGAAAUGGGCUACGAAUCGUUCUGGCUUUUCCUGUUCGGAUCGUGGUAAAGCAGAAGAAAAUCAGAGAUAUCUGGCUUAGGAACCUCCCAAUGGCACUUUGUGAUUUCGAAAUUUUCCUUCUACUACUUGGUCUGCUUCUAUCAUUCUUCUUGAUGAUAUCUUCAUAAACAGCAUCAACAAGACUAGCAAACCGGCGUUUAAAUGUCGGAAACCUUGAUAUCAAUCUGGUACUUACCUUCGAGCCAAAGCCUCAAGUUCGGCACACUUGCAUUUGGAUUCUGGUGGCAGGCUGAUGUUGGAAUCUUUCAUCCUGAUGGGAUCAUCACCCAGCAGAACUAAUCUAGAGAGGUACUCCUCUUCCUGCUCAGAC